CACUUUAGCCUAGAACGGAGGUAUACUCACAGGGCAAGGGCAUCAAGGAGGAGAAUGGACAAGGCUAAUAAAGAGGGGAAAGACAGUUCCCUCCCUUGAGCUAAAUCAACAACUAAAGCAGGCAUGCAUUCAAGGUUGGAGAGGACACAAAGGCCAUGGAUUCUCCAAAAUCUGCACAGGAGAGUGUACAAGUCGUCUUCCUCCCUGAGAUGCAAGUGAGAGCUUAGGUACCUGUGGCUCAUAAAAGCGAAGUCUGCUGUGCCAGAAACUUCUGGGCCUCUCGCCACUUGCCAGCCUACUUACCAGCAACUCCAGCAGCAUGAUCUGUAGAGGAAAGAGAAGUGCAGAACCUGGCACAGGUGAAAUAAGAAAACAGCUCAUUAAAGAUGAUCCAAGAACUUAAAUAAGCAGUAAAAUUGACAAAGAGCUACA